UACGUAGGGUGCAAGCGUUGUCCGGAAUUAUUGGGCGUAAAGAGCUCGUAGGCGGUCUGUCGCGUCGGCUGUGAAAACCCGGAGCUCAACUCCGGGCCUGCAGUCGAUACGGGCAGACUGGAGUUCGGCAGGGGAGACUGGAAUUCCUGGUGUAGCGGUGAAAUGCGCAGAUAUCAGGAGGAACACCGGUGGCGAAGGCGGGUCUCUGGGCCGGAUACUGACGCUGGAGGAGCGAAAGCGUGGGGAGCGAACAGG
rnacentral:rRNA from 1 species